UGUUUGGCUGUUGCUGACCACUUGCGCUUCACAGAGGUAAGAGGAAAAGCACUUGAUAGGAUGUUCCAAGAGUGUCUUAUAAUAGAAAGUCAGUAGUAACGGACUGAGGGGAGGGACAGAGGAGGAGAAGAGAGCAGGAUUGGGGGCGGGGGAUGAUGAGCAGCCGCGAUGACAGCAGCAUCUCCGCGCUGUCUUCCUGCGCGCCUAUCGACGGGACGCACCGCCAGUUUAUACUGGGUCAAGUCCGAAAGUCCGAUGCUGAGCUGCUGGAAACUGAGUUUUAGGACUUACUUGGAUGCAGAAAGCUCUUUGCUUCAUAAAGUGCUGGAGUCACAGAAGAUCUGCGUUUAUUUGGACAAUAUUAUCCGAACCGAUUUGCUAGUUGAAAGUGGGAAAAUAAGUUGCCUAUACAGAAGUUUAAGUUCAUGGAGAAAAGACAUCAGAGGAGCUAGUUAGCGAGAAACUGCAAUGGUGAAGAAACAAGCUCUACCCUGGCUUCUCAUCUAAGACACACUUCUGAGGUCUGAUGUGACCCCUCAAGACGCUACAUCCCAGUCAACCAUGGAGCAUGAUCUAAGGAUGGGCCUGUCCUUGUGGGCCAUUGUGGCAAUUGUUUGUAACUCUGUGGUGGGUGUCCUUAUCCUCAUCCUCUUCGUUAUCCUCUAUAAAGCCUGCAAAGUGCCUUCACACCAAGAAAAAAUGCCUGUUUUUACAGCAGAGCUGGAUCAGAAGAGGGCUGAACAAAAGUACAUGCUGACUGCAGCUUGAUUAAGACUAGAGGACAUAAACCUGACAUGUAGGCAAGCUUCAACGUUGCCUACCUGUGGGGGUUCAAAAUAAUUAAAGGUAGAUUGGGACCAGCAGCUACUUGCACAAGUCAUUAUUUUUACUUUCCUUUUUGUUUCCUUUUUGUGUUACUCACUGUUUACAGCUUUUUGCCAUCAGCCCUAUCUCAUCUGUGCCAUUCAGUGGUGCUUUGACUAAACUAACUGCAUUAAGACUUGGGGCAAGACCAACAACAACAACAAGCAGGCCCAAUCCUCUUAUCUCUGCUGUGCGUCGCUGGGACUGUCCAUCUGUCAGUCAGUUUGGCUUGCUCCCCAUAAGCCAACCAUGAUAUCCUCCUCUGCUCUGUUCUUUUUCGUCUCUCCAAAUAAGACAGCUGGGUGGGCAUGGAGGAGAAAUAGCAAGUGCACAAUGCAGUGCAAUAAAGGACUUAGAGGGGUCAAAGUCAGUUGAAAGAUAUGUUUUAGAGGGAAAGACAAAAUGCUGCUAUGUAGCUGACAUACAGCUUACUUUGUACACACUGCAGAAUUAGUGACAGUGGCACAUGCAGCCUAAAGCGACAGAGAGAGCAGAGAUGCAGCUGGAGGAGGUAGCUAAGUCAAGACAGCUAGAGAUAAAGUUUGCUUUAUACUUGACAAGGAUGAUAAAGUGCAAGAGGAAGAAUUGAAAAUGGGAUGCUUUGAUGUUUUGUAACAGAAGAAGAGCACAAGGGACCCGUUUGACUGUUUCCCCAUUUGAUGCACAAGUUUCUGCUUAUUCAAAUCCAGUUCUCACAGGAUUAAAAGCAACUGCAAAAGUGUAACAGCAACAGUUUUGCUCAUGUUUCACUGUGCCUCUUUUUUAUUUGUUCAGCUCCUGUGUAGACUGAAUGGGAUAUUUAUAGAUAGCCAUCAUGCAAAAUAUCAGAAUGUUCAGAGUCUUAUAGUUCUGAGUGAGUAUUGUGUUUACGGUAGUGACUGUGCUGCAGCUACAUCGCUGCAUUUACAUUUGUUUGUCUUUUACAACUGAUCCUAUUUUGACAAAUGAAAGGGCUUUGUCAAGGAAAAGUUUUGUUUUCCUUAGGAUAAAUCUGUUGAAAUCAACUCUCAGAACAACUUGCUAUAGUCCAGUAAGAUAAUUUUUUUUUUUUUUUUUUUUGUGUUUUGAUUAGUCUUUAUUUAUUUAUUUAUCUAUUUUUUUUCUUUCUUAGCAGUUUUCUGUUUUUCACUUACGGGGAAGUAAUUUGUACUAAAAUGACUUCUUGUUUUACUUCUUAAUUAAUACGAAUAAAAAUUGUAAAGAAUUAUUGAUUAAAGAUUUAAACUGUAUUUCAAUCAA